rnacentral:rRNA from 1 species
GGGUUGUGAGGUUAAGUGACUAAGCGUACACGGUGGAUGCCUAGGCAGUCAGAGGCGAUGAAGGGCGUGCUAAUCUGCGAAAAGCGUCGGUAAGGUGAUAUGAACCGUUAUAACCGGCGAUACCCGAAUGGGGAAACCCAGUGUGUUUCGACACACUAUCAUGUCAUGAAUACAUAGUGGCAUGAGGCGAACCGGGGGAACUGAAACAUCUAAGUACCCCGAGGAAAAGA